CCCACUACCAGUUCCCCUCCUGACAUUAGGUUCUGGAUCUACCCCUGCUCUGUAUGCCUUUGUCUGUAUGACUAUAUGUCUGUGUAUGAUUGUGUGUGUAUGCCUGUGUCUGUAUGUCUCUAUAUGACUGUAUCUGAAUGUAUCUGUAUGCCUUGUUCUGUAUGUCUCUAUAUGACUGUAUCUGAAUGUCUCUGUAUGCCUUGUUCUGUAUGUCUUGUUCUGUAUAUCUCUGUGUGACUAUAUGUCUGUGUAUGCAUGUCUCUGCAUGCCUGUAUGUCUCUGUAGGACUUUGUUCAUAUGUCUAUGUGUGCCUUAUUCUGUAUGUCACUGUAUGCAUCUUUAUGUCUCUAUAUUACUGCAUCUUUAUGUCUCUGUAUGACUGUGUCUAUGUCUGUGUUUGUAUAUCUCUGUAUAACUGUGUCUGUAUUUCUCUAUAUGACAGUGUCUAUGUGUGUGUCUGUAUGUCUGUGUUUGUAUGACUAUGUUUAAUUUUGUGCCUGCAUAUCUCUGUG